AACGGCCAUACCAUGCUGAAUAUACCGGUUCUCGUUAGAUCACCGAAGUCAAGCAUCAUUGGGCACGGUCAGUACUUGGGUGGGUGACCACCUGGGAACACCGCGGGCCGU
rnacentral:rRNA from 1 species